rnacentral:rRNA from 1 species
UGGGGAAUAUUGCGCAAUGGGGGCAACCCUGACGCAGCAACGCCGUGUGAAGGAUGAAGGCUCUAGGGUUGUAAACUUCUGUCUAGAGGGAAGAAUAAAUUGACGGUACCUCUAAAGAAAGCACCGGCUAACUCCGUGCCAGCAGCCGCGGUAAUACGGAGGGUGCAAGCGUUAUUCGGAAUUACUAGGUGUAAAGGGCGCGUAGGCGGUUUAGUAAGUUAGAUGUGAAAGCUCAUGGCUCAACUGUGAGACUGCAUCUAAAACUGCUAGACUGGAAUAUGGGAGGGGAAAAUAGAAUUCCUGGUGUAGCGGUGGAAUGUGUAGAUACCAGGAGGAAUAUCGAUGGCGAAGGCGAUUUUCUGGCCCAAUAUUGACGCUGAGGCGCGAAAGCUAGGGGAGCAAACAGG